GUACAAAAGGCGUUUUUUGGGUUCAACAUUCGCACAUGAAAGGGCAAAAGAGAGGAAAAUUCCAUGGCAUUGCCAGUAAGUUUCUAUACCUUCCUACAGACAUGCAUGAGAUCAUCUAGGCCAAGCUUACUGUGCCUUAGAUCUCCGCAUGCUGCUCAUUCCAGCUCAGGAUCUCAGGCUAACCACAGUACAGAGGGAAACAGCUACGGACAACAGGAAGGACUUUAAGCAUUCAUCACUACAAAACAGUAUAUGUUAAAAAUACAGUCAGUAUUUCCCAAUGAAGCCAUCGGCACCGCCAGAUUAAGGCUUUGUUCUGUAUUUCACUCCAAGUUCAGCUUGCUGGCAUGGGUGCAGUGAGGCUGCCCCAACGGAUGCCAGCCAGAGCCACGGCCGUGUGCAAGGACUGCAAAGAGUACAAGGGUGGACCACCAGCAUACACAAUAGUUUACAUUACUCAAAGUAAGUGAUGAGUUUCAAGGCCAGGUUGGAUGGGGCCCUGGGCAGCCUGGUCUGGUAUUAAAUGGGGAGGCUGGUGGCCCUGCCUGUGGUAGGGGGGUUGGAGAAUCAUGAUCCUUGAGGUCCCUUCCAACCUCAGACAUUCUGUGAUUCUGUAAAAUAAAACAGAUUUAUUCCAAUGGGGAAUAUCUGUAUUUCAAACAUUCAGUACCUACAUCCUGAGCCAGGAGGGCUGCUGUCUCCUCCAGAUCAGACUGCUUCUGGAGAGCAGAGCCACUCACUGCUGUCACCACGAACACCUGAGGCAUCAAACAGCAGCUAACUGUACACUGCCUUUGUGCUAAUGACCAAGCCACAAUAACCACAUCCCUGGCAAACUUCCCAUUUAGUUCAAUUAACUCCAAGCUGAUCGCAGCAGUCAGCGUCAGAGUGAGCCAGAGCCCUGUAUUCUGACAUCAAGGAGAGGACAUUCAGCACAGCUGCAGCACUCUGCCCUGCUGCACCUCCCAGCACCCUCAUCAGGCUCAGACAUCUACACCUCAGGCUCCAUGAUGGGCCCCACCAUGCUCCCCUUGCCACUGCAGCCACAAAACCUUCCUGUGCCGGAGCUCAGCCCUCCUGCAUACCCAGACACAGCCCCUGCCCAGCCCUGCCCGCCACCCCCUGCUAUGGCUCCAUCCUGCCACGGCCUGGGUGCAAGUCUUCUGUUGGAGGGUGUUAGGGCAGAAAACCGGCUUCCACACAAUGCAGAAAAUGUUCGUCUGCUUGCUAAGAUAACGAAAACAACUUACUUCAUUUCAUAAUGUUAUUAUUAGUCUGAAAUGCUGUUAAGCAUUGGUUUGAGCAAAUGCUGCACUGCAUCCCCUCACUGGUGUGCAGUGUUGGAGCUGCAGAGCUUCCAGGGCGAUUGUGUUCCCCCUAAUGCAAUGCAGAUGUGUGGGUCACCAGGCUGUGAGCUGCUGCCCUCUGCCUGGGGAUGCUGACACUUGCACAUUCAAGUUCUGAAGCACCGACCAAAAGGUGCAGCUCCCAGGGAAAACUGAAACUUAAACUGAAAACUGAUUGUGAAGGCAGUUCAAGGAACAAACUGACUGCUACUGAUUCCAGAAAUACUGAAACAUUUCAACUAAAUAAUAGAGACAUUCCCGAGCCCUAUUUGGACUUUUCAUCCCACAAAAGCAACAACAACGAAAACACAACAUGGCUUUUGAGAUCAAAACAGAUAUGGACUAUAUCAUAUCAACUCCUCAUCGGGCACCUGCUCUGUUUCAUUCAGCUCUGAUUUCGUUUCAAAGUAAUCUCUUUAGAACACAACUAAGAGAAUUUAAUCAGUGUCUGUUCGGUGGUUACAGAACAGAGGGUCACAGUGCAACCUCUGCUCCCCAGGCUCACAGAACAUCUGAUUCCAUUAACACCAUCAGCUGCUUUUUCAAACAACUGUGAAGAAGGGGAGGAAACCCGACACUGCCCUGCUGCUAUUUGUGCAGAUGUGGCUCCUCAGUGUGUUUGCUUUGCAUAGGAGAACUGGAAGAAGUUGGGGCCCAGUCUGAGGAAUGCACAGAUACAGGGACAGCAGUGAAGACCUUGAGCAGAGGAUGCCAUGAGUUGUGUAAGAACAUUUGUUAUAAACAUCUACACUGAAGAAAGGAACUUAGCGGUCCUGUGGAUCUCAUUGAUACAAGAAAAUUCAUUGGCAUUCCUGCAGAGAGGAAGGUAACUUCUUAGCACCCUUCUGGCAUGAAACGGAUUCACAGUGCAGUGGUGUAAUGCUCUAAUGAGAUGACAAAAGCAGAAUGGCAAAGUCUCUGGCUACAGAAAGUGAGAACAAGACCAAACACAGCAGCCAUAGAUGCAGAAAUAAAGGAAAAGAGCUGCUCAUCUCCAGCAAGAGAUACCCUCACCUCCAUUGCCAACCCUUAAAUGAGGUCUGAGAAGGGGUGAUCCUGGCUCCACCCUUCUAGUCAUUCAGGUGCACUGCAUGCAGCUGAGCUCCCCUGGGUUGGCCCUGCCUUCCCACUAGGUGCUCAGUCACUGUUUCAGGCCGUGACUUAGCACUGCCACUACAAGUAGUAUUAGCAAAAAAGGUCCCACUGGUGCUGGCAAGGCCUAGCUCUGCAGCAUGUCCCCUCUUGCAAUAUGCUCAGCAAGCCAGAUGCUGCCAUGUGCUGCCGGGCUGUGCCAUGCACGGCCACAUGCUGCCGUAUGCUGCUGUACACUGCUGCCAACACCUGCAGAGCCUAGGCCCCAGCUCCUUGCUAAUACUGGGGGGGCCACAUGGGACAAGGGGCAGUGAUUACCAGUAUGCUGACUGCUGGCUGGCAACUAAGCCAUUGCAUCAAGCUUACAGAAAUGUUAGAAUGGGUUUUGGUGUGGUGCCUGCAAAGUGUGUUUGACGUGAAAAAGAAAUUAACUGGGGAAAACUAAGCUGAAAGAACAAUUGGUAUAACCCCUCAAUUCAAAAAAUGAUAGAACCACAGGAUUAUCUGGGCUGGAAAGGGUCUCCAGCCACCAAGCCGCCCUCCUGCAUCCCACCACCAAACCACAUCCUUCAGCUCCAUGUCUGCACACCUCCUGAACACCCCCAGGGAUGGAGCUGCCCCAGGGAAUCCCUCCCAGUGUCUGACAGCCCUUCCAUGAAGGAAUUCUUCUGCCGGCUCCUCCAGGACCAUUGGGUGGAUCCUGUCUGGCCCACAGAUUGUGAAAGUUUGAAAGAUGAAGUAGGUUGCUCAGUUUCCCUUUGGACUGCAGGGGCUUAAUCUCACCACCUGCUAUGAGCUGAUACAGUUUCCAGGUCUGUGUAAUAGAAAAAAUACUCUCUGGAUAUUUUCCUUUUGAACAUUUUUCUAUAUUAAGCUUCCAUAGGCUGCAACAUAUUUGCCCACUCACGUUAUUUAGUUGAGAAGUUUUGAAAUAGAACGAAAUUUGCAUAGAUAUUUCCUCAGCAGCACUUUGAAGUGCUAUGUCUGGGAUCACUGGUGAAAUCCCUGGAAGUCUGCACACUGCCAACACAAAUAGCAGCUAUAUUUAAGGACGGAGGAUUAUCCACUCCUUCACAGGGCCAUGCUACAUACCAGGCUCUGCUGUCAGUUCCUAGCAGCCAUUCUGUUUGAAGCUCAGACCAGCACAAAUAAUACAGAUGGACUUUUCUCCCGGAGAAAAAAAGCUUCAAAAGGACCUUCAGAAGGACCUGCAAUGACUGGGGAAAACCUGUGAUGGCAUUUUGUCAUCUUUCAGCCUACGUGAGCAUCCCCCUGCGCAGCUGUGUGCAAUGUGAAACCAGAAGGAUGCUGUGUUCCCACCUGCAAUUCCCCAGAGAGUAAUGCUUCUCUGUAAUAAAGCUCAGCUGCUCUGGGUCAGCAGAACUUCAGUGGGAUCUGUUUUUGAAGCCAGAAGACCCGUGCUGUGGUUCCAGCUCACAAACAUUAAAGAUUGCACUCACAUAAACCUUUGCUUUCUGUGGCAGUUUCUCCAAUGGAUGCGGUGCUGAGCAUGCAGAGGGUGAGCGUACGACUUGUAUGUAAAUCACAAAAUCUUUUACAGUGCACAACAAAACCGGCUCAGAAGCAUGGAAGCUUUUGCAUUGGCCUCAGAAGGGUACAGCACAUGUGUAAGGCUGAGGCACAGACGCCUUGUUUAAUUAUGCGAUGGUUAAGAUCCAGAACAAGACCUGUAAGUGCCAACGUACUGCCAUUACAGCUGCAAAACCGUAGCAACGAAGAAGCAAGCAAUCCCUCUGCCUCCAUCUUAGAGAGAGAAGCAUGCUGAUGUCCUGCUGUGAAGCCUAUGGCAACGUGCAGACCCUCUCAGGCUUUCAGUGCCAGAGCUGUGUGUGCUCUCCUGCCUGCAGUGCGCUCGCUGCAAUGUGUGAGAUUGCCACAGCUCUAUUUUUAGCUCAGUGCUCUGUAUGACACCUUUCCCUCCUGUCUCCCUGCACUCGGUGUGGGCACAGGAUGUGGCUGUGCUCCUGCAGUGCUCCCUGGGGUGCACCGAGUCUGCGUGCAUUUCAGAAGAGCCCAAACAUUCACUCCUCGGUGACGCACUCCUGUGUGCCCGGGCCUUACAGGGGGAUGGAGAAACUCAGCCAAGAUGGCGGGAAAAUGCUGCCAGCUGAGAAGCCUUCACUGGGUGUUCGGAGAUACCAAGUGCAUUUAUGGGGGGAAAAGUAACAUUUCCAACCCCGCUGGCAUAGUGGCAGACCUCACCUUUCUGAAGUAAAACCUUUUCAUACUUCUUUGCUUUAGAAUUCACACUUUGCCAGGAACAGAAAUGUUCUUUGAUACGAUACCGCAGACAUCGGUUCAUCCCACCAUUUUGAUCCACGUUUGGGGCUGUUAUCAGAGGACUCUGACUGCAUUCUGGAACACUCCAUGUACAUUAAGAGAGAUUGGGUACUUCUCUACUCGAAGUCUGCAGUGCAUGGCUGUCCUCAGUAUUCCCCAACACCUCUCUCUGCCGGUGAUGCCCGCUGUCCCAGCACCCCGGGGCCAAAGGCACUUGGUGCCAUGCUGGCGGGCUGUGCGGCUGCCAUCCCAGCACCGGCCCCUCCGCAGCUCUGUGCGUCUGUCCAUCUCCACAAGUGCCUGUCGGUCAGGAGAGCACUUUGAAAUGAAAUGAGGCUUUGUUUAAAGCUGGUUGCAAAAUACAGAUCACUCUGAUCAACUCCAUCUAUUUUAAAACACCAGAUACCUCCGGCGCAAAGCUCCCAUCAGAUGUAGGUUUGUGCUCUAAGGUAAAAGCACUUUGAGCAGCGUCACAAAUGACCAGUGCUCAAAGAACUAUCAAAAUAACACUUCAUUUAGCAUCCUCUACAUGAAGUUAUCUGGCAAAGCCCUCGAGGGAACUGUGCCGUACAAAGCUCAGACUCAGGGCUCCAAAUGUCUCUUCCCAAACAGCAGUGACUGCAGCUCACAGCAACAACUGAAGAGCUGCGUUUCAGAAGUGGGCUGGGGCUGAGCAUUACAAUGCACAGCUCAGCAGCCACAUCCAGGGCUGUGACAGCCUCGCUGGUCUCAUCUCCUUUCCCGUCUCUUUGUGUACGUGAAUUAACCUCCCACGGAGCUCCUUUUAUACCAACAACACACGCAACCUCUUUCCAAAGGCAAAGUGGAAAUCCCUGCAAGUAUUUCUGGUACUGCUUCCAGCCAGAAAUAACAGUAAUCUGAUCCACGAGCAAAUUCCAUUUCUGUUACUGAAUUCCUUUGUACAAAUAUAUUUGCUUUGAAAAGGUUUGCAGCAGUUAGGCACAGGCCGAAUUUACUUAUACGGUGUGAAUGAAGAAAGCUUUGCAAGGUUCUGCAUCACAGACAGAAAUGUCUGCAGCCUCUCUUACCACGUCUGUGCUCCGGUCCAUAGGUGAAUGAUGCUGCCUUUCCUUCUCUCUUCAAAGAAGCCCUUAGAGGAGGUCUGAAGGGUUCACAGAUGACAGACAUGGCACAGAAAUUAAGCGGCAGUGUUGCAGGGCCCUCCAUCUCCCAGCUGUAAGGGAUCUGGCCAUGGGCUGUAAGGACAGAUCCGCCCAUAAAUAUCAGCACCAGGCAUGCUUAAUCUUGCUUGAUUAUUUCUGUACACUGCAGCCUGAUGGUUCCUCUUCCGCACAGCUCCAGAGUAGAUCACAGCCAUUUGUCAAACCAAAUCAUUCCCCGACAGUCCGGGAGACAUCAGUUUGCCAUCUGUAAUCUAUUCCUUGGCUUCUGGCAGAUAUUUUCAGUGCUUGUUUUCAAAAGCUGUUUCAGAUUUCUAAGGGCUUCUUCGUAACCUCCACCAGCAAAGCCUCACACAGUUUAAUUGUUGGCAGCUGUGUCAGAGAAGCAUUUCUGCUGUUCCUGGUGUUGCUGCAACCAGGGAUGGAGCGGCUAUGCGAUGCUCUGGAAUGGGGAAGCACAUGAUGGCUUUGGAGAGGGUGGUGCUGGGAGCUCUGAUUUACGAUUACAUGCAACGAUGCUACAAUUUUACAGAGAUGUUUGCAGCUAUACAUAUUCAAACAGUAACAAGACACUUCAGAAAAUUUACAUGAAGCUCUGAAUUACCAAAUAAUUACCGACACACAAGUACAGAGCUAAUUAGUAUAACAACUGCACAUAGGGUGCUCAGGUAGCACAUCAUUGUUCACAGGAAAAUCCAAUGCUAGGAAUGCAUUUGUCACUGGGAGAACUUGCAAAGCUGUGCUCAGGCUCCAAAGAGCAGAGGGCCCAUCCCCGCCAUGGCAGACACCCUGCUGCAGGCUGGCAGCUACCCGUGCUUGCAGAGGGAAAGGCAGCAACUAUGUGCCCACUUCAGAAGCAGAAGAGCCCGGCACAGCCUCUAAACUAAAGCCUGACUAUGCCAUGACUUGUGCUGUCCUCAGUGCCUCCCAUAUCCCUCAAAAUCUGGAUCCAAAGCAGACACGCAUAUAGAUGCACUAAGCACAUGCAUAGCAUAUGUAAAACAAAGGCCAGCGCUGUCCUUUGUGCUCCUGAUACACUCAACACCCUCAACCCAAUCAUCUUUCUUGAGUUCAGAGCCCCAUUUUUACCUCCGAGGAGUGGGCGAUUCAGUUUCGUGGUAAGGAAGAACUCAGUCAAAAAAAUAAAAAUAAAAAAAUCACCAUUGAGUACAUUUUUAAGGCAGACCAAGGAGCACAGAUGUGGUGCCAGUGGGCGUACCGGGGAGCUGUGGGGAUGUGUCACCAAGAAAGAUGGAAAGCACUGGGGACAGAACUGUUCUCUGCUGUGCCAGGCUGAACUCCAGUCCAAAUCGUCCAUUCCCAUGACUUCAGAUGAGCUCUCACAGUUAAGCAAUGUGAACACGAACUCUUCCUGACACCAGCACGGACUGAUCACCAGUUAAGUCCUCGUGGGAAUCUAAGAAUCUAGAACCUUCUGAUGCUCCCUGUAAGCACAGAGUAAUGGUGUUUUAGAGUCAGAUAAUCACUUGCAAUGGAAACCAGUGCUUUUUAUUUGUAAAACACACGGUCACGUUACAAAUCCUGAAUUUUUCUGAUUUUUUUUUUUCUAGAACUGAACUCCUUUGUUCUUUUAUGAACAAUUCAAACUGGCCAGCAGUGGUUAUAUAUAACGUGUGCCUCAGGCCAGCACAACUGGCAUGUGAACAGCAGCCCUUGGUUUGCCACUUGCAAUAGUAAAGGUCAGUGGAAAAUACUCCGCUUUGGGUCUGCAUUACCACUAUUAAAAGCAUAAUCCAAAGGGCAGAGUGGAACAUUAGUUCAAAGUACUGAAGGGAAAAUGUCAUGCAGAAUUCACACCCAGACAUAUCCCCACACGUCCUUGCAGCCCUGGGCCAUGUAGAAGAGGGAUCUGGUUUUGUGUAGGGCUCAGUUCUGACCUAUGUGUAUUUGCACGAGGAGCUCUUCCCUGACUGUCUAAAAUACAGCAAUUUCAGAAAUAACACCACAGCAAACAAAGCAGAGCCACAGCACUGCGCACAUCCUGGACUUCACUUCUGCAUCUCUAGAGCAAGCGCUGUCUGCAGUCCUCCCAAAUACCUCUGCAGCCUUUGCAGCGAACCCUCUCCUACCAGAGACAGGGCCCAGAAAUCACGGCCAGUUCCUGCUCCUGAUUCCGUACAUGGAUGGAAAAACCACUUUGUUCCCGUGCCACUUUUCUCCGUCCUUUGUCUGCCUCCUGCUUAACGACAGCUGGGUGCGGACCGUCCCCACCUGCGAACCCCCGCAGUGCCCUGGGCAGGGGACGGCUUUUGGAGAGGGAGGCUCUAAACGGCAAAGUAAGAAGAGGGGCGAGAAGAGGGCACGGCAUCGAGCAGCCUUUCACCGCGGGGAGAGGAAAAGAGAAAGCCGCGGCAGCUACCUUAGCAUUCUCUCUGCGCAGCAGUAGAUGGAGCCCUCCGCCAGCAGCUC
ensembl:lncRNA